rnacentral:rRNA from 1 species
AGCAGCCGUGAUAAUUUCAGCUCCAAUAGUGUAUAUUAAAGUUGUUGCAGUUAAAAGCUGUAGUUGAAUUUCGGGUUUCUACCAUUGGUCAGACAAUAGUCUGUACAAGCGUGUGGAAUUCUACCUUCUGGGGAACCAUCAUGUUAUUUAUUUAGCGUGGUGGGAACCAGGAUCUUUUCUUGAAAAAAUUAGAGUGUUUAAAGCAGGCUAACGCUUGAAUAC